UACGUAGGGUGCGAGCGUUAAUCGGAAUUACUGGGCGUAAAGCGUGCGUAGGCGGUUCGUUAUGUCUGCUGUGAAAUCCCCGGGCUCAACCUGGGAAUGGCAGUGGAAACUGGCGGGCUUGAGUGUGGCAGAGGGGGGUGGAAUUCCGCGUGUAGCAGUGAAAUGCGUAGAGAUGCGGAGGAACACCAAUGGCGAAGGCAGAUCGUCGCUGGGCCGUAACUGACGCUGAGGAGCGAAAGCAUGGGGAGCAAACAGG
rnacentral:rRNA from 1 species